UGCCCAGCAACUCCUAUCCCUACCUCCUCGCGGUACCGGCCGGAAACUAUGAGCAACCUUAGGGAAGAUCGGGUAACCAACCCCGGUGGGAACUUUGGUCGUAACUGACAGGGAAGG
rnacentral:ribozyme from 1 species